UACGAAGGGUGCAAGCGUUAAUCGGAAUUACUGGGCGUAAAGGGCGCGUAGGUGGCCUGUUAAGUCAGUUGUGAAAUCCCAGGGCUCAACCUGGGAAUGGCAUUUGAUACUGGCGAGCUUGAGUAACGAAGAGGGGGGUAGAAUUCCUGGUGUAGCGGUGAAAUGCGUAGAGAUGGGGAGGAAUACCAGUGGCGAAGGCGGCCUCCUG
rnacentral:rRNA from 1 species